CAAAAAUAUAUACUUUUCAAUAAUUACCUAAAGAAAAUAGUCACUCAAAAAAUAAAGGAGCAGAUAUGUUUAUUUCAACCUAAUAAAUUAUAUUUUAUUAUUCAAAGUACAAUUUACCUUGAAAGCAUAGCAAUGAGAAAUGCUAAGCUACUUAAGUUGAAAACUGCAUAUCAUUAUCACUGGAAUUAGCAUUUAUAGUAACACUUUCGCAGUGAUAUUAUCAGUAGUAGGAGAAUCCUCUAUGUGGAAUGUAUUAUGAUAUCAUCGUUUAUAGAUGUAAUAGCUCUUAAAGGAAAACUCCAGACCCCUAAACCACUUUAGCUUGCCAAAGGGCUUUGGGUGUGAACUCUGCAUCCUCUUUUUUUCAGUUUACAAAAAGUGCAGAUUUCAAUAGAAAUUGACAGUUUUAGAAUUUGACCUUGUCACACCACCCUAGCUGUCAAUCGGUCAAUGGGUCAUGUUACUUCCUGGUUUGGUUAGCUCAGUGAAACUAAACUCAAGAGGCAGCAAUUGCCCAGAGAACCUGCCUUGCAAAGACUUCUCAUUGAGCUGCAUUGGGAAGACUGAUUGGACAGCCACAGAAAAUCUGGGUUAAAAGGGGAGUGCUUGCAAAGGCUUCGGGCAAGAGAUCUGCAGGUUUUGCAAGCUAUAUUCAAAUAUACCCCCAAUUGAAAAAAAAAUGCAUAAUUACAUACAUACACGUUUUCAUUAAGAGUAUAUUUACUAAGCAUUAUAUUUAUUUUUAGGAUUUGGGCAGUGGUCUUUAACAAAGAAAUUGCUAGGACACUUUAAAGCAUUGCACAUUUAAUAAACCCCUCCUCUCCCAUGCAAGAUUCACCAAUUAUAAGACAUUUUAUUAGGGAGUGCAUGCAUUUAACCAAUGGGACUGGGCGAGUUCUAAGCACAAGCUCUAAAGCCAGCAAGUGUCCAAGUAUGCUUAAAUAAACCUUAUAUGAAUAAUAAAAUAGGACAACCUUAUUUUAAAGGCAAAGUUGCAGCAUGUAUUUACACAUGAUUGUUCUUAGAAAAAUAAAAGUCGAACUGACUAGCAUAUUUAAUGGUUGACCAUAAAGCUAAUUUUAUUACGAAAGUAUGGCAUCAAUGCUAUUUUUUUUAGGUUACCUAGAAAGGUGAAAUAGUUGUUUAAGUGGUAUAUUCUUUACUAUCACUUUGGAAUACAAUAUAAUAGGUUUUUAUUUUUAACAAGGCCCACACUUAUUUAUUUGCCAUCCUGGACUAGCUGUUCAUUAAAUUGUGAGGUUACCAAACUGUUUUAAUUUGGAUUUUAUAUAUAUAUUUUUAUAUGCAUUGUAGCAUUUAAAAACAUAUAUUCAACAAAACAUUGGGUCGGGGGGGGGGUGGGGACUAUUUUGCUUAAAAAAUACUUUAAAAACAUUUUUUUUUGUCACAAAUCUUUCCAGGCUCCCUAGCCAAUCCUGAUCUCUACAAUCUACAAGCACACAUGACUUUCCUUGAGGAAAAUGGUAGCCAUUCAAGGUAGUCACUCAUAGCUGAACUGCGCAUGUGUGAGUGGCUCAUAUUGAUUUCAAGGAAACAUCAUCCAGGCACAGUAAUAGAAAAACAGCUGUAUGCUCACUACAGCCUUUGUGACAAAAUUAAAGUAAUAUUAAAAAAUAGAAGAUGAAUAAAGGGUAAAGCAAAUAUGUUUUAAUCUAUUUUAUAAUUAGGCAAAUAAAACAUGCCGUCUGUGAAUAUCUAUUCUAAAGAUGUCUAGUAAAUAUGGUGUUUGCCCCUAUAAACAUCUUGCAAUGGAUCUAUAUAUCAGUGAGGAAAGGAAAUCAAUGAAAAUAAAGUAAGAAACGGUUAUUUUUACAUUUAAAAAUUAAACUAGGUUUAUAUUACAUUUUAAAUGCUUGUAUAGUGUUUAGAUUCCAUAUUCAUUACAGUACCUAUAAAAAACUGUUUAACUGUUUUAACAAAUAUUAUACCAUAGACAGGUUCUAUGUUCCUUGCAUAAAUGUAACACUAUUAUUUUAGCGACAGGUUCACUUGAAAUAUACGGAGCUUCAGAAUAUCUAGACAUAUUAACCUGUAACAGAAUGGAACUCUACCAAGACAUCUUGUAGUAUGUCCCCUUUCCAUCGUUAAAUCUGAAGUAGGGAAUAAAAAUCUUGGUUACUCAUUAAAAAAAAUUUAAAAUGAGUCACAGCUAGAAUUUUAGCAAGAAAGAUCAACAGAUAUAGGAAAUAUGCAUUUUUAUUCGCUUUUGCCUCAGGGGUAUCUGAGAAGGGAUGAAUUAGAUGGACUUUUUAUAUUCUUACUGACUAUGUAACUAUAAAAUGCCAGAACGUACUGUACUAGAAUUUUUAAAAGAGUAUUCAUAGAGUGAAAUGUGUUAAUCAUAAAUGACUGAAUUGAAAAUGCUUUGAUCCUAAAUUAGAUUGUACUACGUAAGCCCAAGAUAUGUCUUAAAAUUCCUACCAAUUCAAUCAAAACCGUUUAAAAUGAAAAACAUAAUGAUAAAAGCUAAAAAUGUAAAAAUAAAGAAUGUUCCAUAAUCAUUUAUACACUAGAGUCUGAAAGUAAUUAUUAUACUUAAAGUGGCAAUACAGAAACAAUUUCAAUAUAUAUUCACAUGGGUAAUUGUGUUUGGUCCAAUUUGUUGACACUUUUUGUCCUACCAGCUCUCAAGGCAAACACACAAGCGGGGCCAACUUCAGAUAUCAUUCAGGUAUCAUAGGCCAAUGCCCUUGGUAUACCUUUGGUGAGGAG